GACGAACGCUGGCGGCGUGCUUAACACAUGCAAGUCGAGCGGUAAGGCCCUUUCGGGGGUACACGAGCGGCGAACGGGUGAGUAACACGUGGGUGACCUGCCCUCAGCUCUGGGAUAAGCCUGGGAAACCGGGUCUAAUACUGGAUAUGACUCCAUGACGCAUGUUGUGGGGUGGAAAGCCUUGUGCGGCUGAGGAUGGGCCCGCGGCCUAUCAGCUUGUUGGUGGGGUGANGGCCUACCAAGGCGACGACGGGUAGCCGGCCUGAGAGGGCGACCGGCCACACUGGGGACUGAGACACGGCCCAGGACUCCUACGGGAGGCAGCAGUGGGGAAUCUUGCGCAAUGGGCGAAAGCCUGACGCAGCGACGCCGCGUGAGGGAUGACGGCCUGGUGUACGUAC
rnacentral:rRNA from 1 species